AGAAUCAACGCUGGCGGCGUGCCUAACACAUGCAAGUCGAACGAGAAAGUGGAGCAAUCCAUGAGUAAAGUGGCGACCGGGUGAGUAACACGUGACUAACCUACCCUCGAGUGGGGAAUAACUCCGGGAAACCGGAGCUAAUACCGCAUAACAUCUUCGGAACUCAGGUUCUGUUGAUCAAAGGAGCAAUUCGCUUGAGGAGGGAGUCGCGGCUGAUUAGCUAGUUGGCGGGGUAACGGCCCACCAAGGCUUAGAUCGGUAGCCGGCCUGAGAGGGCGCACGGCCACACUGGAACUGAAACACGGUCCAGACUCCUACGGGAGGCAGCAGUGGGGAAUUUUGCGCAAUGGGGGAAACCCUGACGCAGCAACGCCGCGUGGAGGAUGAAGUCCCUUGGGAUGUAAACUCCUUUCGACCGGGAAGAUACUGACGGUACCGGUAGAAGAAGCACCGGCUAACUCUGCGCCAGCAGCCGC
rnacentral:rRNA from 1 species